rnacentral:rRNA from 1 species
GACAUAGGUCGCAAACGUUAUCCGGAAUUACUGGGCGUAAAGCGUGCGCAGGCGGUUCGUUGUGUCGGCGGUGAAAGCCCCGGGCUUAACCUGGGAAUGGCCGUUGAAACUGGCGAACUGGAGUGUGGCAGAGGGGGGUGGAAUUCCGCGUGUAGCAGUGAAAUGCGUAGAGAUGCGGAGGAACACCGAUGGCGAAGGCAGCCCCCUGGGCUAACACUGACGCUCAGGCACGAAAGCGUGGGGAGCAAACAGG